rnacentral:rRNA from 1 species
CCUACGGGAGGCAGCAGUGAGUAAUAUUUGUCAAUGGGCUUACGCCUGAACCAGCCAAGUCGCGUGAGGGAAGACUGCCCUAUGGGUUGUAAACCUCUUUUGUCAGGGCGCACUUGGCGCUACGUGUAGCGUUAUCGAGAGUACCUGAAGAAAAAGCAUCGGCUAACUCCGUGCCAGCCGCCACGGUAAUACGGGUGAUGCGAGCGUUAUCCGGAUUUAUUUGCGUUAAAGGGUGCGUAGGCGGAAUGCCAAGUCAGCGGUAACAUCGCGGGGCUUAACCUCGCGUCGCCGUUGAAACUGGCGUUCUUGAGUGGGAGAGAAGUAUGCGGAAUGCGUGGUGUAGCGGUGAAAUGCAUAGAUAUCACGCAGAACUCCGAGUGCGAAGGCAGCAUACCGGCGCCCAACUGACGCUGAAGCACGAAAGCGUGGGUAUCGAACAGGAUUAGAUACCCCUGUAGUC